rnacentral:rRNA from 1 species
GUCGAGCGGAUGAGGAGAGCUUGCUCUCUGAUUCAGCGGCGGACGGGUGAGUAAUGCCUAGGAAUCUGCCUGGUAGUGGGGGACAACGUCUCGAAAGGGACGCUAAUACCGCAUACGUCCUACGGGAGAAAGCAGGGGACCUUCGGGCCUUGCGCUAUCAGAUGAGCCUAGGUCGGAUUAGCUAGUUGGUGAGGUAAUGGCUCACCAAGGCGACGAUCCGUAACUGGUCUGAGAGGAUGAUCAGUCACACUGGAACUGAGACACGGUCCAGACUCCUACGGGAGGCAGCAGUGGGGAAUAUUGGACAAUGGGCGAAAGCCUGAUCCAGCCAUGCCGCGUGUGUGAAGAAGGUCUUCGGAUUGUAAAGCACUUUAAGUUGGGAGGAAGGGCAUUAACCUAAUACGUUGAUGUUUUGACGUUACCGACAGAAUAAGCACCGGCUAACUCUGUGCCAGCAGCCGCGGUAAUACAGAGGGUGCAAGCGUUAAUCGGAAUUACUGGGCGUAAAGCGCGCGUAGGUGGUUUGUUAAGUUGAAUGUGAAAUCCCCGGGCUCAACCUGGGAACUGCAUCCAAAACUGACAAACUAGAGUAUGGCAGAGGGUGGUGGAAUUUCCUGUGUAGCGGUGAAAUGCGUAGAUAUAGGAAGGAACACCAGUGGCGAAGGCGACCACCUGGGCUCAUACUGACACUGAGGUGCGAAAGCGUGGGGAGCAAACAGGA